rnacentral:rRNA from 1 species
ACAGCCCAGCGCAUAAUYUCCCGGGCUACCCAGCCUGCGGCGACAUGUUGCGUAAAGGGAAAGGUCGUUACAAAGCCCUGUACAACAUAGCCAAAGUUUGGCUUGAAUUUCCACUGUAUUCUAACGGAUACUCCGGCUCCACAGAGGGUGUAAGACCCGUGAGGCUAUGUGGAGAAACUGUACAUGGGUUCGGCUUUUUUCCCUGUGAGUCGCGUUGCUUAAUACUGCAGCGCUAAGCAGGUCGUAAAUUCGACCUAAGGCUAAAUAUAUUCACAGAACCGAUAGUAAACAAGUACCGAAAGGGAAAGUUGAAAAGGACUCUGAAGAGAGAGUUAAAAGACCGUGAAACCGCUUAGAGUAUAAGGCAAUGGCAAUUCUGGAAGGCUUGGAGCAUGACUAGCCGCAAGUUUGCUGGUCACGCCUAGUAGGUUCAAUUUCAGGUGAAACCAAACAAGUGAAAGAAUGUGGCAUUGAGUUGAUACCACUACAUUAUUAUCUUGCGGGUCUCUGACAGUGAGUACAGGGGAAGUGACCAUGUGGCACGGAACCGAGGCUGGGCUUAUGCAGCGUUUCAUGACAUUCCUGAUUUUUUGAAGGCUCUCUAUACAGCCCACCGCAACUCUUUACCAGGUCACCCGAGUGUGGUACGAAUGAGAAAGAAGGGGUUAAGUGUGUGCCUGUCGUUUUAAUACAGGGUAGACAGUGCAUGCUCUCUUUGUCUCGACUGUGUGUCCAGGCACUCGUGGCUAUGAUCCUAAGUGAAGGUUGUAUCUGACCUGCCAAACUCCCACAGGCUCGGCUAUCACGGACGGCUCACAUCUUAUGUGGGGGCCACUUGGAGCUACGGGGAUAGCUGGGAACGAGGCAGUACGGUGUAACAUUCAGAGCCAUUGCUCACGUCUCGAAACACGGGCCAAGGAGCAUAGCAUAUGCGCAAGUCUAAGGGAUUUUAAUCCUGGAGGCGAAGUAAGAGCAAUGGUGUGUGUUUGCUUCGGCAGAUGCAGUCGGCUUAGAGCGUAAUUCCCCUUGGGAUGAAUGCGUCAAGCAUGCUUAAACUGGGUUGAUCCGAGCUAGGCUCACAAGCCGAAACUUGGCGCAAACCCCGGGCUCUCAAUAUAAGGGGCACCCUUUUGAGUAGCACCGAGUAGCGUGUAUGCUAUUACCCGAAAGAUAGUGAACUAUGCCUGGCGA